rnacentral:rRNA from 1 species
UACGGAGGGGGCUAGCGUUGUUCGGAAUUACUGGGCGUAAAGCGCGCGUAGGCGGACCUGCAAGUCGGGGGUGAAAGCCCGAGGCUCAACCUCGGAACUGCCUUCGAUACUGCGGGUCUCGAGUCCGGGAGAGGUGAGUGGAAUUCCUAGUGUAGAGGUGAAAUUCGUAGAUAUUAGGAAAGAACACCAGUGGCGAAGGCGGCUCACUGGCCCCGGUACUGACGCUGAGGUGCGAAAGCGUGGGGAGCAAACAGGG